rnacentral:rRNA from 1 species
UACGGAGGGGGCGAGCGUUAUUCGGAAUUAUUGGGCGUAAAGAGCUCGUAGGCGGUUUGUCGCGUCUGCUGUGAAAGACCGGGGCUCAACUCCGGUUCUGCAGUGGGUACGGGCAGACUAGAGUGCAGUAGGGGAGACUGGAAUUCCUGGUGUAGCGGUGAAAUGCGCAGAUAUCAGGAGGAACACCGGUGGCGAAGGCGGAUCUCUGGGCCAUUACUGACGCUGAGGAGCGAAAGCGUGGGGAGCGAACAGG